CAACAGUUAAAAACCGUUUUGAACAAGUCUCUAUUGGCUUCAAAGCAUUCUAGAAGCUAAAGGCCAUCUUUAGGGUUGCUGGCUAGCAGAAGGCUAACCAAGGCUCUGCUAGCAGACACUUCAAUUUAAUUCUGAGUAUAUCAUAUUUUCUACAUUGCCACUUUGCUCUCUGAACCCAUAUGGUCCAGGGCAUUAUUAAUAGUUGUAAGGAAACUUUAGAUUCAGUCUACUUUAGUUGAAUUGACUUGAGAGAUGUUCGGUCUCAACAACCCAGAUGGUGGACUUAUGGGUCCAGUUUUUUUUUUGAAGAUGGGGACAGAAAGAGGCCUUCCCAGCAGGACUCACAUUUCCAGACUCCAACCUGCUGCUCCUGUUACCUCUGCUUCUCCAGACCUUCCUGACUCCUCAAGAGAACCCAGAGAAGACCUGAAACUGCUGAAACCUGGAAAGGUCAUGAACUUCCAACUAUUUGCAGAACUUGGAUACUGUCUUCAACCUGAUCCAGAGACCCAGCACCUCAUGAAAAAUGCUGCCACCCUCUUUAUGUUAAACAUCUGUAUUGCUGACCAAUUUCAAGGUCACCAAACUGCAAUAACAUAAGGCCAAGCCUGCGAUGACUUCCUGAUGCUACUGGGGAUGAAAGGGAAAUAAUGAACCAUUACUCUGACCACAGCCAAGGCCAGGUGUUGGAACCAGUCAUGAAGAGGACCCAAGGGCAUUUAGGCUAUUUAUACCAUUCAUUGGCCAUAUAAAAUUCUUAACAUAUAGAACUAAAGCAAUGGGAGGUAAUUGUACCUAAUUUUCAGCUCAUCAUUGCCUGUGAUUGCUGUAGCAAAUGAUUUUGUGCCUCUUACAUAUCCUGGGAGUUAGAUGAGUUCUCAAGGCUCUAUGUUCCCUAAGGUCUGGGGCUGAGUCUAGAAUCUCCUACAUGAUGAUGUUUGGUCAUCACCUGGCAUGGAGGUCUCAGGGGCCGAGGGUUGGCCCCUUGACAAAUCUCUGUAAAAAUUCCAGGCUCCCCCUCAGGGUAGUCACUGCCCCUGGGAUAAUUGAAAAUCUAGUUGAUUAAAAAAAAAAAAGAAAAUCCCAGUUAAAUUCCAUUUAAAAAGGAAAAAAAAUAAAUCCAGACUUAUCUCCUAUAUUCCUCUUCCUCUAAAGUUUUAAAAACAUGUAAAAUGAGGCAGUUUUAAAGUCACAAGAAAUUUUAAUUCUCUAAUUUUUUUUCAAUAUUUUUGUUUUAAUUAACAGUUCAAAAAAGCAUAUGUAUUAGAAGAAAUUAUGUUCAUGUGUGUUCACUUUCUUGUAAAUUGUUUUGUUUUCUGCUCCAUAUGUUUUCCUCCCUUCUCCCACCUCCCCAAGCAUGCAUAGUUAAGAAAGGAUAUAUUUAUAUAUACCUAUGUAGAUAUACACAUGCAUUCCCCCCACAUCUGUACACAUUUUUCCUAUGCCUACUGAACUUUUGCUUUAAUUCUCAUCCUUAACUUUACUUACAAUUAACUCCCCCCCCAAAGGAUCCCUCCCUUUGUGUUUUCCCACCCAACAUCUGCCCAUCCCUUACACCUUAUUUCCUUACAGAUUUGGAGGCUGCUAUACCCUUCACAGUAUAUAUACAGUGUUGCUUAUUAAACUAAGAGUACAUUUUCAAAAACAUGGGCCCUUGACCCACUUAUGCCUCUAUGGCUAUUCUUCCUCUGUACCUCAUUUGUAUAACAUUCAUAUUUUUACAUCAACACUGCCAAUAUUUCUCGUGAGUGGUAUGCCCUAUCAUGAAUAUGAAUCUUAAACAUAUAAUAUACAUGUAAAUAUGUAAAUAAUUUGUCGGUGUUUAAACAGUUUUGUCCAUGUGGAAUUCCUUAAAAUGAAUCAUUGAUAUUGGCUCUUCUAUAUUUUCAAUUAACUUUUGAGUUUGGGUGAUUGAAAGUCAUGGAAAUCUGCAAGUUCACUGAAUGUCCUUUUCUUUCUAAUUCAAAAUCAUGAUUUCACUGGAUAUGGCCUUUUUGGCUGCAAGCCUAAUUCUUAUAAUUGUCAGUAGAUAAGUUUUCAGGUUUUUAAUAGGGCUGCUGAUAACUAUCUUGUUCAAUUCCAACUGUAGCUCCAGCAUAUCUGAAUUGUUUCAUUUGUUUCUGGCUAAAUUUUCUUUGAUCUGAGGGUGGGUGGGGAAGGGGGUUGAAAUUGGCACUAAUAUUCCUAUGUAUGCUCUACAAAGAACUUGAGGUCGUGAUUGGUGAAUAUUUUUUAUUUCUACUUUUCCCGCUUAUGUUACAUCACUCCAGAACAAUUUUCCUUGAAUUAUUUCUUGCAUUAUUUUGUCAAGGUUCUUAUUUUGGUCACAAUUUUCAGACAAUCCAAUUCUAGUUUCUCAAUCUGUUCUCCAAAUCCGUCUUUUUACUUAAAAGACGUUUCACAUUCUGUUCUAUUUGUUUUCAAUUUUUACAAUGUUUGUUUUAUUGAUGUCACAACUUCCCAGACUUCUCCUUGCCUCCUCAUUUCAGAAUUAUUUUUAUCUUUGAGAUUCUGUACCUCCUUUGCAAGUUGGUUACAUUUUUUUUCAUAA